rnacentral:rRNA from 1 species
CCUACGGGUGGCAGCAGUGGGGAAUAUUGCGCAAUGGGCGAAAGCCUGACGCAGCGACGCCGCGUGAGGGAUGAAGGUCUUCGGAUCGUAAACCUCUGUCAGCAGGGAAGAACGGUCACUGUGCUAAUCAGCAGUGAAUUGACGGUAUCUGCAAAGGAAGCACCGGCUAACUCCGUGCCAGCAGCCGCGGUAAUACGGAGGGUGCGAGCGUUAAUCGGAAUUACUGGGCGUAAAGCGCUCGUAGGCGGUAUGUCCAGUCAAGGGUGAAAGCCCCGGGCUCAACGUGGGAACUGCCUUGGAAACUGGCAGACGGGAGGGUGUGAGAGGAUAGUGGAAUUCCAGGGGUAGGAGUGAAAUCCGUAGAUAUCUGGAGGAACAUCAGUGGCGAAGGCGACUAUCUGGCACAUAACUGACGCUGAGGAGCGAAAGCGUGGGUAGCAAACAGGAUUAGAUACCCGAGUAGUC